CGUAUCACCCAAGACAACUUUACGGAGUUGACGAUUGACGGAGCGAAGCGACGUCAAAGCGUUCAUUAAAGUCGAGUUGGCUUAGGGAUACGUUCGUUGGGUAGGGGAGCGUUCUGUAAGCCUGUGAAGGUGUGUCGUGAGGCAUGCUGGAGGUAUCAGAAGUGCGAAUGCUGACAUAAGUAACGAUAAAGCGGGUGAAAAGCCCGCUCGCCGGAAGACCAAGGGUUCCUGUCCAACGUUAAUCGGGGCAGGGUGAGUCGACCCCUAAGGCGAGGCCGAAAGGCGUAGUCGAUGGGAAACGGGUUAAUAUUCCCGUACUUGGUGUUACUGCGAAGGGGGGACGGAGAAGGCUAUGUUGGCCGGGCGACGGUUGUCCCGGUUUAAGCGUGUAGGUGUGUGUUCCAGGUAAAUCCGGUUCACUUUAACACUGAGGCGUGACGACGAGGCACUACGGUGCUGAAGCAACAAAUGCCCUGCUUCCAGGAAAAGCCUCUAAGCAUCAGGUAACAUCAAAUCGUACCCCAAACCGACACAGGUGGUCAGGUAGAGAAUACCAAGGCGCUUGAGAGAACUCGGGUGAAGGAACUAGGCAAAAUGGUGCCGUAACUUCGGGAGAAGGCACGCUGACACGUAGGUGAAGUGAUUUACUCAUGGAGCUGAAGUCAGUCGAAGAUACCAGCUGGCUGCAACUGUUUAUUAAAAACACAGCACUGUGCAAACACGAAAGUGGACGUAUACGGUGUGACGCCUGCCCGGUGCCGGAAGGUUAAUUGAUGGGGUCAGCGCAAGCGAAGCUCCUGAUCGAAGCCCCGGUAAACGGCGGCCGUAACUAUAACGGUCCUAAGGUAGCGAAAUUCCUUGUCGGGUAAGUUCCGACCUGCACGAAUGGCGUAAUGAUGGCCAGGCUGUCUCCACCCGAGACUCAGUGAAAUUGAACUCGCUGUGAAGAUGCAGUGUACCCGCGGCAAGACGGAAAGACCCCGUGAACCUUUACUAUAGCUUGACACUGAACAUUGAGCCUUGAUGUGUAGGAUAGGUGGGAGGCUUUGAAGUGUGGACGCCAGUCUGCAUGGAGCCGACCUUGAAAUACCACCCUUUAAUGUUUGAUGUUCUAACGUGGACCCGUAAUCCGGGUUGCGGACAGUGUCUGGUGGGUAGUUUGACUGGGGCGGUCUCCUCCUAAAGAGUAACGGAGGAGCACGAAGGUUGGCUAAUCCUGGUCGGACAUCAGGAGGUUAGUGCAAUGGCAUAAGCCAGCUUGACUGCGAGCGUGACGGCGCGAGCAGGUGCGAAAGCAGGUCAUAGUGAUCCGGUGGUUCUGAAUGGAAGGGCCAUCGCUCAACGGAUAAAAGGUACUCCGGGGAUAACAGGCUGAUACCGCCCAAGAGUUCAUAUCGACGGCGGUGUUUGGCACCUCGAUGUCGGCUCAUCACAUCCUGGGGCUGAAGUAGGUCCCAAGGGUAUGGCUGUUCGCCAUUUAAAGUGGUACGCGAGCUGGGUUUAGAACGUCGUGAGACAGUUCGGUCCCUAUCUGCCGUGGGCGCUGGAGAACUGAGGGGGGCUGCUCCUAGUACGAGAGGACCGGAGUGGACGCAUCACUGGUGUUCGGGUUGUCAUGCCAAUGGCACUGCCCGGUAGCUAAAUGCGGAAGAGAUAAGUGCUGAAAGCAUCUAAGCACGAAACUUGCCCCGA
rnacentral:rRNA from 4 species